AUGAGGACAGCCAACCACACACAGGUAAGAGAGUUUAUUUUCCAAGGUUCUCCAACUUCCAAGAACAUUAGCUGAGCUCUUCAUGGUGUUUCUCAUCCUGUACAUUUUAACUCUGGUUGGUAAUGCCAUCAUUGUGACUGCUAUCCAUAUAGACCAUCACCUCCACACACCCAUGUCCUUCUUUCUAAGUGUCCUAUCUACAUCAAAGACUUUCUACUCCCUUGUGAUCAUCCCAUGCAUGCCUUUCAGCCUUGUAGGUCUGAGCCAAUCCAUUUCCCUGGAGGGCUGUGGAACUCAGCUUUUCUUCUUUCUUGGCUUUGCCAUCACCAACUGCCUCUUGUUGGCAGUAAUGGGGUAUGAUCGCUAUGUGGCUAUCUGUAACCCACUUCGUUAUUCAGUCAUCAUGAACUGGAGGGUCUGUGCCAUCCUGGCAUUCUCAGUCGGUGCCACAGGGUUCUCACUCUCACUGGUUCAGGUUGUGGCUAUUUUCAGAUUGUCCUUUUGCAAGGCACUGAUUGAGCAUUUCUUUCAUGAUGUUGACCUGUGCUGAACCUGGCCUGUGCUACCCCAAUCAUCACUGAUAUCCUGGCCUUAAUUACCAGUCUCUUGGCCAUCACAGGCCCUGCCACCUUCUUCAUUUCCUACAUCCUCAUUAUCUCCACCAUUCUCAAGAUUUCCUCAGCGGAGGGCUGGAAGAAGGCCUUUGCCACCUGCGCCUCCCACCUCACUGUGGUCAUUGUCCACUAUGGCUGUGCCUCCAUUGCCUACUUCAAGCCCAAGUCAGAGAACACCAAGGAUCAGGAUCAACUGAUCUCAGUGACCUACACUGUCAUAACACCUUUACUAAACCCUGCUGUGUAUAGCCUAAGAAACAAAGAAGUCCAGGAUACUCUACAGAGAGUGGUGGGUAGAAAUCCCUUUCCU
rnacentral:lncRNA from 1 species